rnacentral:rRNA from 1 species
UAGGGAAUCUUCGGCAAUGGACGAAAGUCUGACCGAGCAACGCCGCGUGAGUGAAGAAGGUUUUCGGAUCGUAAAACUCUGUUGGUAGAGAAGAACGUUGGUGAGAGUGGAAAGCUCAUCAAGUGACGGUAACUACCCAGAAAGGGACGGCUAACUACGUGCCAGCAGCCGCGGUAAUACGUAGGUCCCGAGCGUUGUCCGGAUUUAUUGGGCGUAAAGCGAGCGCAGGUGGUUUAUUAAGUCUGGUGUAAAAGGCAGUGGCUCAACCAUUGUAUGCAUUGGAAACUGGUAGACUUGAGUGCAGGAGAGGAGAGUGGAAUUCCAUGUGUAGCGGUGAAAUGCGUAGAUAUAUGGAGGAACACCGGUGGCGAAAGCGGCUCUCUGGCCUGUAACUGACACUGAGGCUCGAAAGCGUGGGGAGCAAACAGGAUUAGAUACCCUGGUAGUCCACGCCGUAAACGAUGAGUGCUAGAUGUAGGGAGCUAUAAGUUCUCUGUAUCGCAGCUAACGCAAUAAGCACUCCGCCUGGGGAGUA